AGACAGUAUCAGCUCCUCCAGCAACGUAACCAUUGAAGCUCCGGAGCCUGUUCAAAAAGCAAACAUUCCCAAGCCCAUUGACCUAUUGGCUAGUCUUCAAGAACGUCUGCAUGAGGAGCUGAAGCGGAGAGUCAGCUUGUCGUCAUCAAAAAGGAGCAUUUCCGUUGCUUCUUACAUCACGCCUUUGUCAUCAGCUGAAGAAGUGCAGUUCUGGCUCAGUUCCAAAGGAUUCUCCUCCAAGGUUCAGCAAAUAUACCAAAAUAUCAAAGGAGAAGAAUUAUUCCGUUUAAAAAGAGCUGAGUUCGAGAAAGAACUGGGGACAGACGAAGGCCUCCGACUCUUCAAUCAAAUCGCAUUGCAGAAGAACUUCUGUGGGUUCAAAACUCUCACUUCGAAGGAACUCAAUUCCGUUCUGGAAGCUCGGAGGAAGAAAAUUGAUCCAGACGACGAUUUUGCGGACAGACGAGAUUCCGCUGACAGCUUUGCAACAUCCAUUGGAUCCAACUAAAUAUCUUUUGCUUUUCUGGUGUUGGUUGCUGCGAAAGAGGACUUACCAGACAGACUCUAUGAAGAAGAAACUGCUGCCAUUUCUUGAUGCAUUACUUGAGUUAUUUUUGACCCUUUUGUGAUAAAGUAUAUGUAAACUAAAGCAUGUAUAAAGAAAAGGUAUGUGUAAAGUAAAGUAUGUAUUUUGUAUCAGUUCAAGACACUUGUGGUUUAUAUAAGUCAAAUAAAAGUAAAUUAUUG